UCGUGUAACGUUUGCGAGUCGUUUAUUUGUAUAGCGGAAACCGCUUUGGC
rnacentral:sRNA from 1 species